UGCUGACGAGUGGCGGACGGGUGAGUAAUGCUUGGGAAUCUGGCUUAUGGAGGGGGAUAACUGUGGGAAACUGCAGCUAAUACCGCGUAUUCUCUGAGGAGGAAAGGGUGGGACCUUAGGGCCACCUGCCAUAAGAUGAGCCCAAGUGGGAUUAGGUAGUUGGUGGGGUAAAGGCCUACCAAGCCUGCGAUCUCUAGCUGGUCUGAGAGGAUGACCAGCCACACUAGAACUGAGACACGGUCCAGACUCCUACGGGAGGCAGCAGUGGGGAAUAUUGCGCAAUGGGGGGAACCCUGACGCAGCCAUGCCGCGUGAAUGAAGAAGGCCUUCGGGUUGUAAAGUUCUUUCGGUAAUGAGGAAGGGAUGUUGUUAAAUAGAUAGCAUCAUUGACGUUAAUUACAGAAGAAGCACCGGCUAACUCCGUGCCAGCAGCCGCGGUAAUACGGAGGGUGCGAGCGUUAAUCGGAAUAACUGGGCGUAAAGGGCACGCAGGCGGACUUUUAAGUGAGAUGUGAAAUCCCCGAGCUUAACUUGGGAACUGCAUUUCAGACUGGGAGUCUAGAGUACUUUAGGGAGGGGUAAAAUUCCCCGUGUAGCGGUGAAAUGCGUAGAGAUGUGGAGGAAUACCGA
rnacentral:rRNA from 1 species